rnacentral:rRNA from 1 species
CUAGUAACGGCGAGUGAAGCGGGAACAGCUCAAAUUUGAAAUCUGGCCUUCGGGUCCGAAUUGUAAUUUGCAGAGGAUGCUUUUGGUUAGGUACUUUCCGAGUUCCCUGGAACGGGACGCCUUAGAGGGUGAGAGCCCCGUACGGUUGGAUACCGAGCCUUUGUAAAGCUCCUUCGACGAGUCGAGUAGUUUGGGAAUGCUGCUCUAAAUGGGAGGUAAAUUUCUUCUAAAGCUAAAUACCGGCCAGAGACCGAUAGCGCACAAGUAGAGUGAUCGAAAGAUGAAAAGCACUUUGAAAAGAGGGUUAAAUAGCACGUGAAAUUGUUGAAAGGGAAGCGUUUAUGACCAGACUUUUUCCAGGCGGAUCAUCCGGUGUUCUCACCGGUGCACUUCGUCUGGUGGAGGCCAGCAUCGGUUUUCGUAGAGGGAUAAAAGCUUUAGGAAUGUGGUUCCUCCGGGAAUGUUAUAGCCUAUUGUAUAAUACCUUUAUGGGGACCGAGGUUCGCGCAUCUGCAAGGAUGCUGGCGUAAUGGUCAUCAACGACCCGUCUUGAAACACGGACCAAGGAGUCGAACAUUUGUGCAAGUGUUUGGGUGUUAAACCCUCACGCGUAAUGAAAGUGAACGGAGGUGAGAGCCCUUACGGGUGCAUCAUCGACCGAUCCUGAUGUUUUCGGAUGGAUUUGAGUAAGAGCAUAACUGUUCGGACCCGAAAGAUGGUGAACUAUGCGUGGAUAGGGUGAAGCCAGAGGAAACUCUGGUGGAGGCUCGCAGCGGUUCUGACGUGCAAAUCGAUCGUCAAAUCUGCGCAUGGGGGCGAAAGACUAAUCGAACC